rnacentral:rRNA from 1 species
UAGGGAAUCUUCGGCAAUGGACGAAAGUCUGACCGAGCAACGCCGCGUGAGUGAAGAAGGUUUUCGGAUCGUAAAACUCUGUUGUUAGAGAAGAACAAGGACGUUAGUAACUGAACGUCCCCUGACGGUAUCUAACCAGAAAGCCACGGCUAACUACGUGCCAGCAGCCGCGGUAAUACGUUGGUGGCAAGCGUUGUCCGGAUUUAUUGGGCGUAAAGCGAGCGCAGGCGGUCUCUUAAGUCUGAUGUGAAAGCCCCCGGCUCAACCGGGGAGGGUCAUUGGAAACUGGGAGACUUGAGUGCAGAAGAGGAGGGUGGAAUUCCAUGUGUAGCGGUGAAAUGCGUAGAUAUAUGGAGGAACACCAGUGGCGAAGGCGGCUCACUGGUCUGUAACUGACGCUGAGGCUCGAAAGCGUGGGGAGCGAACAGG